rnacentral:rRNA from 1 species
UACAGAGGGUGCGAGCGUUGUUCGGAAUUACUGGGCGUAAAGCGCGCGCAGGCGGCUUUUUAAGUCCGACGGUGAAAUGCCGGGGCUCAACCCCGUGCCCGCCGCGGAUACUGGGAAGCUGGAGACGAGUAGAGGCAAGCGGAAUUCCGGGUGUAGCGGUGGAAUGCGUAGAGAUCAGGAGGAACACCUGUGGUGUAGACAGCUUACUGGACGAUAACUGACGCUGAGGCACGAAAGCGUGGGUAGCAAACAGG